AGCUUUGCGUAGUGGCAGUAUCAUAGCCAAUGAGGUUUAUCCGAGGCACAAUUAUUGCUAAUUGAAAAAAAAAAAAUGACCACUAAACUGAAUUUUACGUUAAUCGUUCUUUGGC
rnacentral:snRNA from 1 species